rnacentral:rRNA from 1 species
UACGGGGGGGGGCAAGCGUUAUCCGGAAUGAUUGGGCGUAAAGCGUCCGCAGGUGGCUGUGUAAGUCUGCUGUUAAAGAGUCUAGCUCAACUAGAUACAAGCAGUGGAAACUACACGGCUAGAGUACGUUCGGGGCAGAGGGAAUUCCUGGUGUAGCGGUGAAAUGCGUAGAGAUCAGGAAGAACACCGGUGGCGAAGGCGCUCUGCUAGGCCGUAACUGACACUGAGGGACGAAAGCUAGGGGAGCGAAUGGG